UGGAGAGAGCAGGAUCCACCAGAACAAAAAGGGGAACUGACAGCAGAUCAUGCAGCGGAGUAAUUUAGUGCCAGCUGGGAAAUGUAAACAGGGUCAGAAGAUGGCUGGGCAGGGGAAGGAUGAGAGGGAGGGAAAAGUGUGCUAAAGGAGAAACUGAGAUCAGAGAGCAGGAGAAAACUGGAAGUAGCUGGCUGGGUAAAGAUCUGAGGGCACACAGCUGAUGAGAAGAUAAGUAUGAAGACUGUUUCUAUCCUACGUGUGGGAAUGCAGGAAAGGGAGGUAUGGCAACAUAAAUAGGCAGAAGAUUAUGUGAAGAUAAGCACUAAAGAGGCAACAGAUGACUUAGUAUUGCAUCUUCAAGGAUGAAAAUAUGCUAGAUGGAGUGAAGAAGGAGGAAGGAAACUGCAGAGUUCCAUAUGCUGAGAUCUUUUUAACCCACUUCCUCGGUGAGCGAGAGCUGGUUUUAAGGGAGUGAAAACAGAUUUGAAGGUGCCUCCCUUCAAAGGAGCUGCCUGUUAAUCUCUCUAACAAGUGGGAGCCUUUCUGAGAGCCAUUGACAGCCUGGAAUAUCUGCCAUGGACAAAGACAUUCAUGGCAGGGUUCAACCAGUGGUUGAAUCCACGUGAACCAGGGAAUCUGGGAAAGGAUCAUGGAGAAAGCUUCUAGCUGAAAUGGCUUCUUUUGAAUCACAAACAGAAUAUCCCUUCAGCCACCAGUAACUCAAACCCUUGGUAAAACCAGCUCCAGGCUAAAUUCAUCACAAGCCACAGGUUGUGUUUUAUGGUCUACGGUUGAUUUAUGGGUACAAAAACAAAAAGUCAGUGCAGCGUGGCUCUCGCAGCCCUCUUCUUGUGGCAACACUUCACAACGCAGAGCAAGCCUCUCCCAGCUGAAGAACAAAAACUUAUCAUUACAGGAGCAGAAACAAAGCAUUAUGCACACCUUGCUGCUUCCAUUACCUCAGAUACAGACGCCCCCCAGAAUAUGUAUUAUUCUCUAGGUAA